rnacentral:rRNA from 1 species
AAGGAUCAUUAAACAAGGAGAUCCCCUUCGGGGGGUACCCCAUCCGUGUCUAUCUACUCUUGUUGCUUUGGCAGGCCGUGGUCUACCACUGUGGGCUCCGCCUGCAUGUGCCUGCCAGAGGACCAAACUCUGAAUUUUAGUGAUGUCUGAGUACUAUAUAAUAGUUAAAACUUUCAACAACGGAUCUCUUGGUUCUGGCAUCGAUGAAGAACGCAGCGAAAUGCGAUAAGUAAUGUGAAUUGCAGAAUUCAGUGAAUCAUCGAAUCUUUGAACGCACAUUGCGCCCGGUGGUAUUCCGCCGGGCAUGCCUGUUCGAGCGUCAUUACAACCAACAAGCUUAGCUUGGUAUUGGGGAUUGCAGUUCCUGCAGCCCUAAAGUCUAAUAGCGGUACCGUUAGGUUCUAAGCGUAGUAAAUCUUCUCGCUACAGAAUCCUCUUGGUUACUUGCCAAAACCCCCUAUUUUACAAAGGUUGACCUCGGAUCAGGUAGGGAUACCCGCUGAACUUAA